UGGGGAAUAUUGCACAAUGGGGGAAACCCUGAUGCAGCGACGCCGCGUGAACGAAGAAGGUAUUCGUAUCGUAAAGUUCUGUCCUAUGGGAAGAUAAUGACAGUACCAUAGAAGAAAGCUCCGGCUAAAUACGUGCCAGCAGCCGCGGUAAUACGUAUGGAGCGAGCGUUGUCCGGACUUAUUGGGCGUCAAGGGUACGCAGGCGGUUUAAUAAGUCGAAUGUUAAAGAUCGGGGCUCAACCCCGCAAAGCAUUGGAAACUGAUAAACUUGAGUAGUGGAGAGGAAAGUGGAAUUCCUAGUGUAGUGGUGAAAUACGUAGAUAUUAGGAGGAAUACCAGUAGCGAAGGCGACUUUCUGGACACAAACUGACGCUGAGGUACGAAAGCGUGGGGAGCAAACAGG
rnacentral:rRNA from 1 species